GAAACAUUUCUGGAGCAAUACAUCGUAAUGGACAUAAAGCAGGUGUUAUAUUGCACACGGCAUGUGUACGGUACGAAACAUUUCUGGAGCAAUACAUCGUAAUGGAAAUAAAGUAGGUGUUAUAUUGCACACGGCAUGUGUAAGGUACGAAACAUUUCUGGGACAAUACAUCGUAAUGGAAAUAAAGCAAGUGUUAUAUUGAACACAACAUGGUAAGGUACGAAACAUU
rnacentral:lncRNA from 1 species